rnacentral:rRNA from 1 species
UGGGGAAUAUUGCACAAUGGGCGAAAGCCUGAUGCAGCAACGCCGCGUGCGGGAAGAAGGCCUUAGGGUUGUAAACCGCUUUCAGCAGGGAAGAAACUGACGGUACCUGCAGAAGAAGGUGCGGCCAACUACGUGCCAGCAGCCGCGGUGACACGUAGGCACCAAGCGUUGUCCGGAUUUAUUGGGCGUAAAGAGCUCGUAGGCGGUUCAGUAAGUCGGGUGUGAAAACUCUGGGCUCAACCCAGAGACGCCACCCGAUACUGCUGUGACUUGAGUACGGUAGGGGAGUGGGGAAUUCCUGGUGUAGCGGUGAAAUGCGCAGAUAUCAGGAGGAACACCAGUGGCGAAGGCGCCACUCUGGGCCGUAACUGACGCUGAGGAGCGAAAGCGUGGGUAGCAAAC